rnacentral:rRNA from 1 species
GAAGGUAGCGUAAUCAUUUGUCUUUUAAAUAGAGACCUGUAUGAAUGGCAUAACGAGGGUUUAACUGUCUCCCUCCCCCAGUCAAUGAAAUUGAUCUGCCCGUGCAGAAGCGGACAUAAACACAUAAGACGAGAAGACCCUAUGGAGCUUUAGACAAAAGAUCAAACAUGUAAAGAAACCAAACCAACCAAAAGGAACACAAAGGCCACAAAACCCAACGUAAAAUGAUCAAAAUGUCUUCGGUUGGGGCGACCAUGGGGGAAAGAAAAGCCCCCACGAGGAACUAAGGGCAAUCCAUUAAGCCAAGAGAUACACCUCUAAGCAACAGAAAAUCUGACCAAAAAUGACCCAGGACACUAAUCCUGAUCAACGAACCAAGUUACCCUAGGGAUAACAGCGCAAUCCUUUCCCAGAGUCCAUAUCGACGAAAGGGUUUACGACCUCGAUGUUGGAUCAGGACAUCCUAAUGGUGCAGCCGCUAUUAAGGGUUCGUUUGUUC